GCAAUGGGUUCAAUAAAACGGAACUCUCCUCCAGCCUCUCUGUGGCGAGUCAGAGGAAGUGGCAUCUCUUAUCUGUUACCAGUGUGUCGGCACUCGACAAACUUGUAACAACCCUGAAGAGAUAGAAUGUGCAGAGGAUGAAGACAACUGUGUCAGCCUCGCUGUUUCAUUGGAGCUUUACAGUAACACCUUCAACUUUGCUACGAAGACUUGUAGCAGCUCCAGUCACUGUAUACCAGGCAUUUACAGAACCACUGAAGAAACUGGUUUUUCCUUUUCUUCGAAUGUCCAUUGUUGCAAUUCUGAUCUAUGCAAUGGAGAACAUAACCAGAGGCCACCUACCUUAAACCUUCAACCCAAUGGCCUUGAGUGCCCGAGCUGCUUAGACCUUGAUACGGAUAAUUGCCAAGCUGAUGACACUGUCGCUUGCCUGGGUGAUGAGACUGAAUGCGUAUACGUAGGUCUUGCUGUCCAAGCACCUGGAGAUUUAGAUACAGCUUUGGCUUUCCGGAGCUGUGGAACGCCAGGUUUUUGUCAAAUCCCAAGAGGAGUUCUACACGCUGAAGGUGGAUUAGUUAAUGCCAGCUUCACCCAUAUAAAAUGCAGCAAUCCUCAGCAAAUAGAUCAACAAGCUGAGCUCAGCAUUGAAGGAUAGAUAGGAGAGAGCAAAACCUUUCCCCUCCGCCACGGAUUCUACCACUUUUAGGAAUCUCGGGCAGGGGUGUGUGUGGAGUGGGGAGCUUAGUAGUUACAGGACCAAGGAUCUGGGGCUCGAGUCUCCCAUGAUCAUCUUCUGAGCAUUUGGUGCAGGUGGAUGGGAUGUCAUAAGUCAAGUAAAAAGGGUCAAAUUUGGAGGUUUGGGGACUAAAAUGAAAGAAAAAGUAGUGUGUGAGUUAAAUUCUCAUUGA